UGUGCAUUUUAUUGCUUUACUCUGACUUCAUUCUGUGGCACCCACCUACAAGGGGAAGUAAGUUAUUUUUGGUAUUUCGGAAACUAAAGUCCUUAUGGGAUGGGGUCUAAAAUUCUCCUUUCCUGAGGGGCCGGGCGCGGUGGCUCAAGCCAGUAAUCCC